rnacentral:rRNA from 1 species
GAUGAACGCUGGCGGCGUGCCUAAUACAUGCAAGUCGAGCGAACAGACGAGGAGCUUGCUCCUCUGACAUUAGCGGCGGACGGGUGAGUAACACGUGGAUAACCUACCUAUAAGACUGGGAUAACUUCGGGAAACCGGAGCUAAUACCGGAUAAUAUAUUGAACCGCAUGGUUCAAUAGUGAAAGACGGUUUUGCUGUCACUUAUAGAUGGAUCCGCGCCGCAUUAGCUAGUUGGUAAGGUAACGGCUUACCAAGGCAACGAUGCGUAGCCGACCUGAGAGGGUGAUCGGCCACACUGGAACUGAGACACGGUCCAGACUCCUACGGGAGGCAGCAGUAGGGAAUCUUCCGCAAUGGGCGAAAGCUUGACGGAGCAACGCCGCGUGAGUGAUGAAGGUCUUCGGAUCGUAAAACUCUGUUAUUAGGGAAGAACAAAUGUGUAAGUAACUAUGCACGUCUUGACGGUACCUAAUCAGAAAGCCACGGCGAACUACGU